GGAAUUUUGGACAAUGGGCGAAAGCCUGAUCCAGCAAUGCCGCGUGAGUGAAGAAGGCCUUCGGGUUGUAAAGCUCUUUUGUCAGGGAAGAAACGGUUUGGGCUAAUACCCUGAGCUAAUGACGGUACCUGAAGAAUAAGCACCGGCUAACUACGUGCCAGCAGCCGCGGUAAUACGUAGGGUGCAAGCGUUAAUCGGAAUUACUGGGCGUAAAGCGUGCGCAGGCGGUUUUGUAAGUCUGAUGUGAAAUCCCCGGGCUCAACCUGGGAAUUGCAUUGGAGACUGCAAGGCUAGAAUCUGGCAGAGGGGGGUAGAAUUCCACGUGUAGCAGUGAAAUGCGUAGAUAUGUGGAGGAACACCGAUGGCGAAGGCAGCCCCCUGGGUCAAGAUUGACGCUCAUGCACGAAAGCGUGGGGAGCAAACAGGAUUAGAUACCCUGG
rnacentral:rRNA from 1 species